rnacentral:lncRNA from 10 species
UGCUGAGUAUGUGUGUGUUCCACCCUUGAUGCUAUGUUAGGAAGAGAACACGAGACAGGAGGCUGCUUUCUUGAUGCAGAGCCAGGCUGAGAAAAGUAAAUACCAGAAUGUGUACGAUGUCAGAUGGGCAGAGGCCCAGCAGAGAAUGGAGCAAAGGAAACUAUAAGGGCAGCAACCUCAAGGCUGGGGAGUUCAGCAUGCAAAGAAGAUCGACCUGGCAUUGGUGCUUAAGCACCAGAGAACCAGCACCUGAGAAAGGCAGAGAAUAGAACUCAGCAUUACCGACCUGGAGUCGGGAGCUCCAGAUCUGCAACUCAUUUCACCUCCUUGGGCCUCAACUCCCACUUUCUACAGGGGGAAGUUUGGGCUUGUGAAGAUCUUAGAUACCUUCCAGCUCUACGUGCUCUAUGGAAGAAAGCCAGUAUUUAUUGAAUGCCUACUAUGCGCUCAAACCCGGGCAAUGCUAUGGGGCAUUUGGCGACAAUUCAGUGGACACGAAGCCUCUCGCCCAUCCCUGAUUCAGGAUUCCCCACAUUUGCAACAAGCCCUGCAAACUAGGUAGUCAUUGGGCCUGCCGAAGACUGCAUAACAUGAAUCCAAUCAUGAGAAAAGAUCAGACAAACCCAGCUGAAGGACCUUCAAUCAAAUCUCUCUCCUGCGAACUUCCAAGUCUCAAAGUGUGGGAGGUGAAGGAACGACUUCAGAACUGUUCCCAGUUGAAGAAGACAGAGCUAGACACAACAGGCUUAAAUGUAUCAGGUGCUUGAGAAUCAAGUUUUGGCCACUGGACACCAUGACCCGGUAGAGUUCUUAUCAUUCCAUUUCUAGAAAGUGAUGGAGAAGCUGUAACAGAGUCCAAUAUAUUUGGCCAAGGGUGCUAAGCAAGAAAAUAAAAUGACACAAAUACAAUUUAAAGGGCUCUGGACUCAAGACAUGUGGAAAGAGGUGGAUACAGAAUUACAAUUGUUUAAAGUAAAUAGUGGAGCAGUACAGGCCCCGAUGUAGAAGCAUAAAGGAAUUCAUAAUCAUGCAUCAGAAGCCUUUUCAGACGAGACAGCUUUUGAGAUUUUUGAAACCUGAAUAGGUAACUUGAUAUCAAUUAAAAUAUAGUCAUAUAUAAAAGUUCUUAGUUGUACCAAAAGCAGAAAGAUUUUGCUGUGUUGCUAGAAAAGUUUAUAGUCUGCAGUUCAUAUAUACAUACGUACAUUUGGCACAUCAUUAGCAGUGUCACUGAGACAUACGACACUGUACAAUGUGGCCCCUGCCUUCCAUAAGCUCCUAUUCUAAGGAGGGAUACAGAGAAUUAAGCCAAUUGAACAAGAGAACAGAGUGAAGUACCCUGGGAAAGAUGCAUGGACAGAAUGCAGAUACAGAGAAGGAAACGGACGCCAACCAAGGAGAUCAAGAUACAGUUUCCUUCUAAACACAUGGAAACACGGACAACCUGCUAACUUAGUAUUUUACUGAAUUACAAUACACUGUCAGAUAAUAUAAUAGAAGUUGCACUCACACAGACUUGGGUUCCCGUCACAGCUCCUGUACGGUUUUAACCAAAAUAGUUAACCUAUUUUAGCCUCAGUUUCCUCAACUAUAAACUAAGAAAAACUAGACGUACCUCCUAAGAGAGUAGAUCUUAAAUGUUCUUAUGCACACACACACACACACACACACACACACACAGUGAGAAGUAUGUGAGGUGAUGGAUAUGUUAAUCAGCUUGGUUUAAUCAGUCCACAGGGUAUCUAUGUAUUAAAACAUCGCACUGAACAAUAUAUACCAUUCUGACUGGUCAAUUAUACCUUAAUAAAGCUGGGGAAAAAAUAAACUUACCUUAUGAAAUUAAUUGAGAUCAUUGAUGUGAAGUGCAAUUCAUUAGAAAAUACUCAGUCAAUUUUAGCAUUACUUUUAUUACCAUUAAUUAUAAUUUGUCUACCCAUGAAUUUUAUUCAACAUGAGAAGAAAUGCUAGCUCACCAGUCACCACACAGUGUGCUGUGUCAUCACGGCCACAGGAAGGGAAGGGUCAUGUACGGCCUGCAGGAUUCUGAGGGACAUCUCAGUUGCACCCUUUCUCUGGAGCAAGAUUACAGAUAUGAUCCAAGUAAUUUUGACAAGGGGUUGGACACAGCAUCCAAAAAGCACCCAAAGGAAUCCUUGUCUGACCAAAGUGAAUCUUCACUGUCAGGCCACCUGACACAGAAAGCCUUCAA